UCCGUAGGUGAACCUGCGGAAGGAUCAUUACCGAGUUGAUUCGAGCUCCGGCUCGACUCUCCCACCCUAUGUGUACCUACCUCUGUUGCUUUGGCGGGCCGCGGUCCUCCGCACCGGCGCCCUUCGGGGGGCUGGCCAGCGCCCGCCAGAGGACCAUAAAACUCCAGUCAGUGAACUUCGCAGUCUGAAAAACAAGUUAAUAAACUAAAACUUUCAACAACGGAUCUCUUGGUUCUGGCAUCGAUGAAGAACGCAGCGAAAUGCGAUAAGUAAUGUGAAUUGCAGAAUUCAGUGAAUCAUCGAAUCUUUGAACGCACAUUGCGCCCCUUGGUAUUCCGAGGGGCAUGCCUGUUCGAGCGUCAUUUCAACCCUCAAGCUCUGCUUGGUAUUGGGCCCCGUCCUCCACGGACGCGCCUUAAAGACCUCGGCGGUGGCGUCUUGCCUCAAGCGUAGUAGAAAACACCUCGCUUUGGAGCGCACGGCGUCGCCCGCCGGACGAACCUUUGAAUUAUUUCUCAAGGUUGACCUCGGAUCAGGUAGGGAUACCCGCUGAACUUAAGCAUAUCAAUAAGCGGAGGA
rnacentral:rRNA from 1 species